UUUCCAAUUUAUGCCAAGACUGCAAAUUAGCACAAGCUGCUGCUGCUCUCCAGCAAAUCAACCCGAGGGAAACUCGGGGGGAGAAGGAAAACUCGAUGCAGACUCAUAAAAAUUACUUAAGACAGAUGGAUCCUGGAGGUUACCAGUAUGAAGGAUUGAACAGGUCCUGCUGUAUGAUCUGGGGAAAUGGGCCCUAAAUGAAUGAACAAUGAAGAACGUAUCUGCAUGGUUUCUUGUGUGGACAUAUCUGGAAGCUUACUGGAAAAAUUAAAGUGAUUGACUUUAAUACCUGCCCACAAUAACAACACAAAUCCCAGGUCUUCUGACUUCUGCCUAAGAAUGUAGACAUCUAGAAGGAGUACCCAUCUGCCUUCUAGCAAGAGAAAGAUAGAUGGUCCUCAAAAUCCUAAUUUUUCUGGAACCUAUUGGAGAGCUAAUGCUGCAGGACAACAAGUAGCCUGGCAUCUGAGGAAAGACAGGUGCCUCUGCGGACAGAUAGAGAACAAGCAUGGAUUCACCUGUGUAAGAGCAUAAGAGUAAGAGAAGGCCACCAUACAAGUGAAUAAAAAGAAGUCACAGUGACUUUUAAUUAAUUUUCAAAGACUGCUUCUCUGAUACUGUGAGAGUAUGGAAGCUAUGAAGACAGCCAGUUGCAGGCUUUUCUCCAUAGACUUCACUAUGUGCUGAUGAAAAAAGUUUAUUGGCAGGGCAGGUACUAAUAUAGACUACUUUGGAGAUGCAGCCUGAAGAAGAGGUGCAUCCACUGCUGUAGGAAACACAGGAACCCAUCUUUGGUUUCUUCUCACAUAAGGAAAAAAGACUUUUAAGAUGCUGGGGAAUAGCAGAAAGCUCUUGGCCCAGUGCAAGGAGAAGAUGUCUCCAUUGUAGGUAGGGGAAGGAAAAAAAAAAAAAAAAAGGAAAUACUUUAUCCAUAGGUCGAAGCAAGAAAUGUGCUCAGAAGAGCCCAGACCAGUAAAGGUCUCCUUCCAUUGAGUUGGAAGAAGCUCACUGAGAAAAUCCAUAUUCUAAGACUCAGGGAGACAAUGACUGCUUAAACUGAGGCUGAAUCAGGAUGACAGAGAACCUCGUCCACAACCGUAACGCCUCAACCUCCA
rnacentral:lncRNA from 1 species